UUGUUGGUCAAGGAUCUGCUGGUGGGCGGUGGGGCCAACCUGUUCUCGCAGGAGGGCUAUGUGGAUGCGUCGGUGUAUUCGCCGCUGGUCCCCGAGUAUGCCGGAAUCCGAGGCUACCCCUUGCUCGAGAAUCCCAACCGAGCCUUCGUCAGUGCGGCAGUCAGUGGGCUGUCGGAUGCGGUGUUCCCGGCGCUCACGAGCAUGACCAUGAGCUUCAACCUGGU
rnacentral:rRNA from 1 species